AGAGUUUGAUCAUGGCUCAGAUUGAACGCUGGCGGCAUGCCUUACACAUGCAAGUCGAACGCGAAAGGGGGGCAACCCCCGAGUAGAGUGGCGAACGGGUGAGUAAUACAUCGGAACGUACCCAGUAGCGGGGGAUAACCUCUCGAAAGAGAGGCUAAUACCGCAUACGACCUACGGGUGAAAGAGGGGGAUCGCAAGACCUCUCACUAUUGGAGCGGCCGAUGUCGGAUUAGCUAGUUGGUGGGGUAAAAGCCUACCAAGGCCACGAUCCGUAGCUGGUCUGAGAGGACGGCCGGCCACACUGGAACUGAGACACGGUCCAGACUCCUACGGGAGGCAGCAGUGGGGAAUUUUGGACAAUGGGCGAAAGCCUGAUCCAGCCAUGCCGCGUGAGCGAAGAGGGCCUUCGGGUUGUAAAGCUCUUUCGGCUGGGACGAAAAGGUCCGUGCUAACACCACGGAUCCAUGACGGUACCAGCAGAAGAAGCACCGGCUAACUACGUGCCAGCAGCCGCGGUAAUACGUAGGGUGCAGGCGUUAAUCGGAAUUACUGGGCGUAAAGCGUGCGCAGGCGGUUUGCUAAGACAGGUGUGAAAUCCCCGGGCUUAACCUGGGAACUGCGCUUGUAACUGGCAAGCUUGAGUGUGGCAGAGGGGGGGUGGAAUUCCACGUGUAGCAGUGAAAUGCGUAGAGAUGUGGAGGAACACCGAUGGCGAAGGCAGCCCCCUGGGCUAACACUGACGCUCAUGCACGAAAGCGUGG
rnacentral:rRNA from 1 species